UCGAGGAUCUUCGGCAAUGGGCGCAAGCCUGACCGAGCGACGCCGCGUGCGCGAUGAAGGCCUUCGGGUUGUAAAGCGCUGUCGAGGGGGAGGAAAGCCCGCAAGGGCCUGACCUAUCCCUGGAGGAAGCACGGGCUAAGUUCGUGCCAGCAGCCGCGGUAAGACGAACCGUGCGAACGUUGUUCGGAUUCACUGGGCUUAAAGGGCGCGUAGGCGGGUCGGUCAGUCCGGGGUGAAAUCCCCUCGCUUAACGAGGGAACUGCCCCGGAGACGGCCGGUCUCGAGGGAGGUAGGGGCAUGUGGAACUUCCGGUGGAGCGGUGAAAUGCGUAGAUAUCGGAAGGAACGCCGGUGGCGAAAGCGACGUGCUGGACCUCUUCUGACGCUGAGGCGCGAAAGCCAGGGGAGCAAACGG
rnacentral:rRNA from 1 species